AGAGUUUGUGCAUAUUUUAUGACAACAUUUUGUGACGUUUUUGUUCAUUUUGGAGUUCGGUUAGGGUUUUUACGGCUGUUCGGGCACACCAUUUUUUUCCCUGCAGAAGUCUACACCCCUUCGUCCGUGAUUGGUCAACUGUAGGGGUGACGCGGGUUUCUGCUUCUUGGUGAUUCAUCCUGAAAAUCAGUGGAUUGAACAACUUGGAGCAUCGAUUGACCGAGGAGGUACAGAAGUACCUUCACCACUACGAUUCUAGCCAUGCAUUAUAUAAAGACCAGCAUGUAAAUGCCAAUUCAUGGAGGGAGAUUGCGGAGACACUGGGGUCCGACCCAACCACUUGUUCGAAAAAGUGGGGCAGGGUUCGCGACAAGUUCAUCAAGGCAAAGAAAAGAAACAAGGGCCGCAGUGGAGAUGCCGGUGGAAAAGCUACUCCAGAAAUGUUGCUGCUGGCUUGUUCGGCACGUGAAGCAGAAGACUGAAAGCAACAUGCCGUCUUCACCAAAGGAUGGGGCACAAACACCAGAGAAUGGAGACAGCACCUGUUUUUUUUUCUCUGCGCCGCAGGACUGCCUGUUCUUCAUGCAGGACCUGGGAAGCUCUAUCCUGGGCCCACCUCCAAGACCUUCUCCACUGGCUUUCUCCUCACCGAUGCCACAGAGCAGCAGUAGUAGUAGCAGGGGUGUGAGAAGAAGGGAGAAAAGAGCUGCAGAUUCAGCCCUUGACACAUCACUCACAAAGGCAAUGCAAAUGACUGAAGACAUACAGUAUCUGAAGAUCUGGAGAACAUCAGGCACCGAGCCACCAGCUUGGCCCAGAGGGUCCUUGCACCUAUAGCUGAUUUCAUGGAUGAACUCUCGCCAAAACUCCGGGAGGAAUACUACCACCAGCUGCAUGAAUUCCUGCAUCACUUGAAGAAGAGGACAUGGACCGAACGACUUGUUCUGUUGUUGUUCAGACACCUCAGGAGUCAGACACUUUCCUUUUAUUCCAUAGACACUUUUGUUCAUAACAGACACUGUUUUACUAUUGUUCCAAAUUAUUUAUAUUGCUCGUAAGUAUUUGUAUCUACACUCUUGACACUUUAUAUUUGACAAUUAUUGUUUACAUGUCUGUUCUCCGCAGACACUGUUGUAUUGUGGUUUACUUUCAGAAGCAAGAAUAAAGGUUUAUUUGUGUGCUGAAAAAGCUCUGUUGGCAUCUCAAUACAAGGUGUUUCAAUGCAUUCUAUUUGAACAUCAAGUGCUGACAAUGUACAGAAGAGCUCUGUGCCGCAGACUUUCUUCUACUCUGAACAAAAAUAUAAACGCAACAUUUAAAGUGU